AGAAGAGGAAAGUCGUAACAUGGUAAGUCUACCGGAAGGUGGCCUUGGAACAGAACAUAGCUUAAAUAAAGCAUUUUGCUUACACCAAAAAAAUAUCUAUACUUAGAUUGUCCUGAAUUGUAAAUUUAGCCUCUCAAACAUAAUCUUAAUUAACUAGAACUAAACCAUUCAUACACGAAAGUAUGGGCGACAGAAAACUUAUCAGCGCAAUAAACAAAGUACUGUAAAGGAAAAAUGAAAUAGAAAUUAAAUAACUACAAAAAUGUAAUAAAGCAAGAAUUCAUAUCUGUACCUUUUGCAUCAUGGUCUAGCAAGUCCAACCUUACAAAAAGAACUUAGUAAGACUACCCGAAACUAGACGAGCUACCCCAGGACAAUAUACUGAAUUUACCCUCCUCUGUAGCAAAAGAACGGGAAGAUCCUAAGGUAGAGGCAACAAACCAAACGAGUCUAGAGAUAGCUGGUUGCUUGAGAAAGAAUUUAAGUUCACAUAAAAGUAAUAACAUCAACAAGAAAAAAAUAAACUUUUAACUUAAUUAACUGAGUUUCAGCUCAAUUAAUAAGGGAUACAACCCUAAUAAAUGAAUAAUGAUCAUAAUUUUUAAGAAUAAAAGUCCAGUAGGCCUAAAAGCAGCCACCAAAAUAGCGUCAAAGCUUAACCCAAAAAAUAUCAACUAUCCCAAUAACAUAUCUUAAUUCAACACAACAAUCAAGCCAAUCUAUCUAUAGAUAAACUACUACUAGAAUGAGUAAUAAGGAUAUAUCCUCUACAAUACAAACUUAAAUCAGAACGAAUCUAUCACUGAUAAUUAAUGAAUAUAUUUUCACGAACAAGAAACUAAUAACAUAAAUCAUUAAUCCAACACAGGAGUAUUAAAGAAAGACUUAAAAUCCAAGAAGGAACUCGGCAAACUCAGGCUUCGCCUGUUUACCAAAAACAUCGCCUUUUGAACUAUAAACAUAAAAGGUCCUGCCUGCCCAGUGACUUGUUUUUAACGGCCGCGGUAUUAUGACCGUGCAAAGGUAGCGUAAUCACUUGUCUUUUAAAUAAAGACCAGUAUGAACGGCAAGACGAAAGCCUAACUGUCUCCUUAGAUUAGUCAAUGAAAUUGAUUUCCCCGUGCAGAAACGGGAAUAUUAUUAUAAGACGAGAAGACCCUGUGGAGCUUCAAACUUAAGCUAACAAACCACAAUGCCUUAGCACCCAGUUUUAGGUUGGGGUGACCACGAGGUAAAGCAUAACCCUCGAGACAAAUAAAGAAAGACACUUCAAAUAAUAUUCACAACACAUUGACCCAAUAGUUGCUCAACGAACCAAGUUACCCCAGGGAUAACAGCGCAAUCUACUCAAAGAGCCCAUAUCGACGAGCAGGUUUACGACCUCGAUGUUGGAUCAGGACUCCCCAAUAACGCAACAGUUAUUAAAGGUUCGUUUGUUCAACGAUUAAA
rnacentral:rRNA from 1 species